rnacentral:tRNA from 1 species
AAGGAUUUAAGUUAAAAAAACUAUUAACCUUCAAAGUUAAAAAUAGAGAAAUCUAAGCCUUA